rnacentral:rRNA from 1 species
UACGUAGGGUGCGAGCGUUGUCCGGAAUUAUUGGGCGUAAAGAGCUCGUAGGCGGUUUGUCGCGUCUGCCGUGAAAGUCCGGGGCUCAACUCCGGAUCUGCGGUGGGUACGGGCAGACUAGAGUGAUGUAGGGGAGACUGGAAUUCCUGGUGUAGCGGUGAAAUGCGCAGAUAUCUGGAGGAACACCGGUGGCGAAGGCGGCAUCCUGGACCGGUAUUGACGCUGAGGCGCGAAAGCUAGGGGAGCAAACGGG